rnacentral:rRNA from 1 species
UACGUAGGGUGCGAGCGUUGUCCGGAAUUAUUGGGCGUAAAGAGCUCGUAGGCGGUCUGUCGCGUCGGUCGUGAAAACUUGGGGCUUAACCCUGAGCUUGCGGUCGAUACGGGCAUGACUGGAGUUCGGCAGGGGAGACUGGAAUUCCUGGUGUAGCGGUGAAAUGCGCAGAUAUCAGGAGGAACACCGGUGGCGAAGGCGGGUCUCUGGGCCGAUACUGACGCUGGGGAGCGAAAGCGUGGGGAGCGAACAGG